CAUGGAUAACUGUGGCAAUUCUAGAGCUAAUACAUGCACCAAAGCUCCGACUUUUGGACGAGCGCAUCUAUUAGAUUAAAACCAAUCGGGCCAUAUGGCCCGUCAAUUGGUGACUCUGAAUAGCUCUGGCUGAUCGCAUGGUCUUGUACCGGCGACAUGUCUAUCAAGUGUCUGCCUUAUCAACUUUCGAUGGUAGUUUAUGUGCCUACCAUGGUUGUAACGGGUAACGGAGAAUAAGGGUUCGACUCCGGAGAGGGAGCCUGAGAAACGGCUACCACAUCCAAGGAAGGCAGCAGGCGCGCAAAUUACCCACUCUCAGAAUGAGGAGGUAGUGACGAAAAAUAACGAGACCGUUCUCUUUGAGGCCGGUUAUCGGAAUGGGUACAAUUUAAACCUGUUAACGAGGAUCUAUGAGAGGGCAAGUCUGGUGCCAGCAGCCGCGGUAAUUCCAGCUCUCAAAGUGUAUAUCGUCAUUGCUGCGGUUAAAAAGCUCGUAGUUGGAUUUGCUCCUUAGGACCUGGUCCAUCCAUUGGAUGAGAACUGGGUUCCUGGGAUACAGUUGCCAGUUUUCGCUACGUUACCUUGAUUGGUCGCGUAGGGUAGCCGGCGAGUUUACCUUGAAAAAAUUAGAGUGCUCAAAGCGGGCUAAUGCCUGAAUACUCGUGCAUGGAAUAAUGAAAUAGGAUCUCGGUUCUAUUUUGUUGGUUUUCUGAUCUGAGAUAAUGGUUAAGAGGGACGGACGGGGGCAUUCGUAUCGCUGCGUGAGAGGUGAAAUUCUUGGACCGUAGCGAGACGCCCGACUGCGAAA
rnacentral:rRNA from 1 species